CGAACGGGUGAGUAAUGCGUGACCAACCUGCCCCAUGCUCCAGAAUAGCUCUUGGAAACGGGUGGUAAUGCUGGAUGCUCCAACUUGACGCAUGUCUUGUUGGGAAAGUGUUUAGUGGCAUGGGAUGGGGUCGCGUCCUAUCAGCUUGUAGGCGGGGUAAUGGCCCACCUAGGCUUCGACGGGUAGCCGGCCUGAGAGGGCGGACGGCCACAUUGGGACUGAGAUACGGCCCAGACUCCUACGGGGGCAGCAGCC
rnacentral:rRNA from 1 species